rnacentral:lncRNA from 1 species
GGAAACUUGUCUCUGCUUUUGUUUGCUAACAGAUUACUUUGUUAAUUCCAAAGCUUUAGCAAGCACCUUGUUUUUCCAACAGAAUUUCAUUCAUCUGUUCUUGUUCUAUAUGAAUAUAUUUCUUCCGGUCACUGAGAGAUAGGACUUUGCUUUCACAUUCAUACAUUUUCCCCUGGCUAAUUAUUUGAAAUGUUUGACACCCCAGAUGUACAAACAGUCAUUGGCCUCUGUGGAGUUUGUUGGGCUGCACAUUGGCGAUGGAUUUAAAAAAUGCACUUGGACAUGUAUUGAAUCCAUAAAAGAAUGUAUUGACACUGCAUAUAGUUGGGCCUGAACUCUACUGCCCUUCGUAGUCAUUCACAUUGGCACAAAAAUCUAAACUGACUUCCAAAAUUUAAAGAUCAAUCUGUUAAAGAUCAUGCUACAAAAGAAAAAAAAUUAAUUAUAAUUUGACAAAUGGAAUUCCAGUUUGUAUUUUCAGACUUACCAUGAUUUUUUUUUUUUUUUUUGGGGGGGGGAAAGGUGAGGAGUGGGGAGGGAUGAAGGUUGUUGGUGGUGGGGUUUUAAUUUUCUUUUGCUUAGAUUUAGGUCCCUGGAAGAUUAGAAGAUUGUCUUCAAAGUGGUCUGUUUUGAUGGCAGUCUGAAACAAUCGAAGAGGGAAGAGAAUCAGAAAAUGGACAAGAAUGAGUGAGCAUCUGGCUUUGGAGGCAGCCAUUUUAAAAACAAAACAAAACAAAACAAAAAGCUGGCCAGGAACUUUGGCUUGUUCCUACCUGUUAAGAUGGUCCUUCUCAGCUCCAGACAUGCCAGACCUUAGAAGGACUAAUACGUCACAAGUGUAGUAUAAACCACGCACUGUCUUCAAAGAACCCAAGUAGGUAAGCUCUAUGUGCUGAAAGCACAAUAUUAAAUCAAAUGUCAAAACUGCCUAAAAUGCUGCUGAAACUGUUGAAAGCUCCAAGAGGUUUUUUGAAGAGCUGACAGCUCUAUCUGAAGAUAAGAUUUAAC